UCAAAUUCAUGGUUUCUCACCAGGGAGAUCUGCAGCAGUUGGAAGCUCAUACGGUGUGUGGGGGCAAAAUGGUGCUGUGUGUUGGCAGACUGAGGAGCAGGUAAGACUGGUGAAGUUAUCUCACCCCAUCCCUCAGGAAGAGUCUUCUUUGGUGUUGUAGUUUCUAGAAGUUCUUCUAGGGCAUUUUCAUCUGUCCCAGCUGAGCAGGUUCCUCUUUCCCUGAGCAGCUGUCGUGCCAGCAGAAGGCAUCUGCUCCCCCAGUACCUUCAAGCUGAAAUGGAGGAACAUGCACAGGAGUGAUUCCCUUGUUCUGGUGGCAAGAACAACGGAGCAUAAGUGGUUUUGUUCUCCAUCUACAUUACAGGUGACUUUGACAAAACUGGUUCUUGUGUGUGCACUUCUGUACCAGCUGUGAAUAGCAGGAAUACUCCAGCUGUCCCUAUUAUACCCAUUGCACUGGGUUUGGAUCUUAUUCCUCCCUUUCAUCUCGAAUAAUCAACAUAGGUCUUAGAGGAGCAGAGACCAGCUGUAUUCUUGUUCUGGCAACGAAAGUGAGAUGAUCUAGAGCAAAAGAAGGACAGAAAGAGGAUUGCUGCCUUCUCCUGCAUGUUUUCAGAUCUGCAGUCAGCUCAGCCUGUGACCCAAGGCAAUGUGUGAGACCAUUCUGUUGCUGCAAAUAGUCCAUGUUUGCCAAUCUUUAGAGUUCCCACAAAGCUCAUUGCUGAGAAAAGAGGUAUGCUGGCUGGCUGCCUAGGUACUUGUACUGUUUCUGGGUUACUGUGCAUUUGCAGUGGCAUUAUGGGAGCAGUUAAUUACAAUAAUUUGUUUGUCUAAAACCUCUUCUAUAUGCCUGGAUCUAAACAUAGGAGUUUCAUAAGUCAUCAAAAUUAAAUAACUCAAACAAACAAACAUGAAUUAUAAUUGAGUUUUGAGUCUUCCAACACUCCCAGGUCACCCUGGGACUUGCCAGUCUUGUCAACACUUUAACUUGUUCCGCAGCUUUUGUGAGCAAUCAAGUGGCCGUUGGUGGGGAAGCACUUCUUUGUUUGCUGUUCAGAAUGAGCUGCUCGGGUACGCUGCAUGUGUGCGGCAGACUGAAUGCAUCAACUCCAGAGGCACAGAAAACAGGAUCAGGCAUCUGUAAAUGCUGAAAUCUUGAACAUGUUCGUAUCAAGCCCAAGCCUUGGAAUACAUUAAAUGUUUUCUAUACCAACUAAAAGCACCACUAUAGGGCAGAUUGGAAAUCGAGGACUCAGACAUAUUAGUCUCCCAGCCCUUACUGACCUCUAACAAUCCCUUCUCUUAGUAUUUUCUUUGGCAAAUAAUGGGAAUUUCACAACACAUAGAAAAAGAGCCAAAUUCAGUCUGUACAGAUUCAGUUUGACAGUAUCCCUUUAAAAAUCACUAAGAAAAAACAUGGAAUGGCACUGCUGUCAUAUGGCUUUUCAGAUUGAAACUCUAGAUGAUCAAGAGUGGCUGCUCAUUUUUCAGGACCAAAAGUCAGUGA